GGAAGGAACAGAAGUGACUUGCUGCAUUCCAGCACCAUCUUGGGCCCUGGAAGGGAAGGCAUGGUGUUCCAAAGGCCAAAAGGACUGGGACACGUGCAGGGACUCUGGAAUGUCACCCAAGACCCAGAUUUGCUCUCUGGACACAUGGAGAUCUUCUCAUAGAGAUCUGAGACCACCUUGACCUCCAGGCUUUCUGUAGAUGGAUGGCAGAGAUGGAACGACUCUUAAUUUUCAGUGACUCUCAUCUCCUCCCAAUGAGAAGGGUGAAGACAGAAUGGACAAAGACAUGAGACCACGAGACAAGAGAGUGUGUGGAACUGAGUCCCCUGCAUCUGUACCUGGGCUGUAUGAACAGGAUCCCUAAAUGUCUGAGCUUCAAGAGACAACCCAAAGUAUCUGUCUCUCCUCUCAUUGCAUAGGUGAAGAAAUU